rnacentral:tRNA from 2 species
GGGCCUGUAGCUCAGUUGGCAGAGCAUCGGACUUUUAAUCCGCGGGUCGUGGGUUCGAGCCCCACCGGGCCCACC